ensembl:lncRNA
AUGAGAAAUCGGAAUUGCAAAAGCAAAGUUUUGCAGCCCCUCGCUGGGAAUCCAGUUCCCUGGGGUGAACGGCACCGGGGUUGGGGUGCUAAUAAAGGCCAGUGCUGGGAUCUCAGCACUUGGAUGGGAAGAGGCAUCGAGAUAUAUCCUCCCUACUGUGGGUUUUCACCAGAAUCAGAGGAGAUCGCUGAUAUUUUGGGAAAAUAGUGAGCACUGAAUUUACAGCCCAAGUGAAUCCCAUACAAAGAGCAUCUCUGUCUCAUGGAGUUUGAGGUAUGGACUCCAGGUUAAGACACAGCCUGUGUAAGGACUAUGUUUUUCUUCCUGAAGAUAUCAAACAGGACUUUCCCAAAGAGAAAAAGGGAAAAAGGAGUGAUCUCAAGUGCCCUGGUGAAAGAUCAGUAAUGCAGUGACUUCAUGUGAAGUAUUUGUGGUGCUGUAUCGUGGGUUUUGGCCUUGGACCCAUUGAAAUAAAUUAUUCUGAUGGAUGCUGUGGGACAAUAAUCUGCAACCCAUAUGCAGCUGGGUUUUAAUCACUGGGAACAACCUGGUUGAAUUUCUGCUGUUUUCAUCAUCUGUGUCUUGACCAUGAAUCUAGUUCUGCAACCGAGAAACCUUCUGUAUUUGUUAUCAGGUGAUCCUAUUUGGUCCCAUUUUUUGGUCUGUCUGAUACUGGAUGUGGCAAGGACAUGUACUUUCACAUGGGAUCUGUCAGCAGUUUCACUGUGCGUUUAGCAAACUUCACAGGAAUCGGUUUGUUUGUAGUACGCUGCUUACCUCCUGUCCCAGUUUGUAUCUAGGAGGUUACUAAUUCUCUCUUUUCCUGUUUUUAGAUGAAAUGCUCAAUAUUAUUCUAUUUCAAAGCAAUAUGGAAUACAGGGUAAUAUUUUUAUAAUAAAAAUGGAAGUGAAACUGUAAAUACAGACAGGAGUACUUAAUGUAAAACUGGACACUGAAGAAAUAAAAGAUGCUUUGGGCUGAGGCAGUUGAAUUUUUUGAGGGGAAAAGAGUGAACUAGCAUUGCAGAAUAGGCCUUCUAACAAAUAGGGAAAUGUGUUUUCAUUACGAUCUUCUCUAUUUGUGCUGGUUUUGGUGCCUCUCUACAUCCUGUCUUCUUCCAGUCUUUUAAUUUGCAUAGUGAAAUAGAAAGAUUAAACCCCCAAAUCCCCAUCCUAUAGCUAAAUACCUAGGAAGUUCUGAUGGAAAGGUUGUCCCCUUACUGUCCAUUUAUUUCCACAUUGUCCACUUAUUUUAAAUUUUAGCACAGAGAGUGGCACAUCAUUCAUCAUUCACACAUCAGUAUUUCCAGCUACACCUUUAUCCAAGCUGACAUACGAUAAGGUAGUAGUAGAGAAUAAAGUGCCCAUUUUGCAGCAUGAAGAAGUUUAAUUAAAUAUAUUUUAAUGUCCUCUAAGAUUUGAAUUUUAUUUGUACUUGGUUUUGUAAUCACAGUCAUAUCCUUACUAUUUCUUUUAGAGUGUAUAUUGUUUUUUUUUUCCCCUCCUAACUGGAAGAGUGCAAUACUUGUGGAGUGCAGCUCUGAAAGAGUGCUUUAGUGUUUCUAGAAAUGCUCUGUUCAUAACAGGACCUAUUUUCAUAACUGAGUCUGGGGUGACAUAAACUGCUACAACGCACCUUCUUUGACUGCAUCCUUUUUUUACUGUCGUUUUGGUUCAGAAAAAGAAAAAAAAGCUCUGUGGACUGAAAGUGCUAGGCAAACGCAUUGUCAGCUAGACUGGUGUGAAGCAGUGCUGACAUUUUUUGUUAAAAAAAAAAAAAAGAUGACAAAAAAACGAACCUUGUUUAAUGAAUUUUGAAUGUAAAAGAAAAAAAGACACUAUAGGGUGAUCAGCGAACUGCUGAAUACAGUAAACAUCUUUCAUGACAAAGAAUACAAAUACCCUGCAGAUCUGCUUUCAAUAGCCAUCACUAGGCCCCCUGCUUUCAAUAGUUAAUACCGAGGCCCCUCUCUCCAAGCCUUACUGGUAGCAAUCACAAGCCAAUGCUUAAAAUGUUGACAUGCUAAGCACAUUUAGAAAGACCUAUGUCUGCAUUCCCUAUGGAUGGUGUAGCAUAACUGUCUAACAUCGAACGUGCGGCAUUAAAAACAAAGUUAACUGAGCUAAUCACCCUGUCUCUCCUGGAAAGUUGUGUGUAAGGGCAAUGAGUUCUCUCUGAGAGGUUCCCCUUCUCCCUUGCAUGAUGCCAGUGGGUCUGUAGCUGGUUUAUGUAAUUAAAUCCCAACAGGCUGCAUGUUUCUGUUAGAAAAUAUGUAGGAAGAAUAUCUCUACUGGAAAGAAAAAAAAAUUUAGAGCCACUGAGAGAGGCAUUUGUGUUGUGCUCCUUCUUCCUAGCUGCUGGGACUGGGCAUUGUCAUCAUGGACGGUAAAAAAAGAUCUGGAUUGAAACUUUUGGAAAAACCGUGAGAAUAAAGAUGAUACACUGGUGUUGGGGGAGAGACAUAAUGAGGAGAUGCGAAGGAGAAAUAAAAUUAAUAUGCUGGAGAUUUUGAACCCAUAUCUAAAGAGAAUGGUGAGUUGUAGGCAAGGAUUAGUAGAUUCCUGGAAUAAAACUCUGAAAUUUGAUAGUCUGGAAAUAGCAUAUUCUCAUGUGAAAGCUGACUUCCUUUCCAUUCUUUUCCUCUUUUUAGCCUAGCCGGGAGCUGGUGUGCAGGCAGUUUCAUGAACAGGGUUUGAAAUAUGGCAGAGAAGUUAACAGAGCGUUUGCUGUGCAGGUUUUGGCCAGCUUGCAAGGUCAGUUAAUCCUGACAUGAAAAAGGCCAGCAUCCCUUACAUCCCAUCCACUGAGUCAGACUGACAGCUUUCAGUCUGUGGCUUAAAGACCUUUUUCUCCUGGCUCUUUUGCCUAAAAACUCCAUGAAAAGUGAUUCCAGAAUAUAAAUUAAUUUCUGUCUGUACAACAAUCUGUAUGCGAAGGGGUUCACACAUCUAAUAAAACUUUUUUAG